CAGUAGCCGCGGGAAAACGGAGGGUGCAAGCGUUAAUCGGAAUUACUGGGCGUAAAGCGCACGCAGGCGGUCUGACAAGUCAGAUGUGAAAUCCCCGGGCUUAACCUGGGAACUGCAUUUGAAACUGUCAGGCUGGAGUCUUGUAGAGGGGGGUGGAAUUCCAGGUGUAGCGGUGAAAUGCGUAGAGAUCUGGAGGAAUACCGGUGGCGAAGGCGGCCCCCUGGACAAAGACUGACGCUCAGGUGCGAAAGCGUGGGGAGCAAACAGGAUUAGAUACCCCUGUAGUCCCUGUCUCUUAUAC
rnacentral:rRNA from 1 species